rnacentral:rRNA from 1 species
UAGGGAAUCUUCCGCAAUGGACGCAAGUCUGACGGAGCAACGCCGCGUGAGUGAAGAAGGAUUUCGGUUCGUAAAACUCUGUUGUUAGAGAAGAACAGCGCAUAGAGUAACUGUUAUGCGUGUGACGGUAUCUAACCAGAAAGCCACGGCUAACUACGUGCCAGCAGCCGCGGUAAUACGUAGGUGGCAAGCGUUGUCCGGAUUUAUUGGGCGUAAAGCGAGCGCAGGCGGUCAAUUAAGUCUGAUGUGAAAGCCCCCGGCUCAACCGGGGAGGGUCAUUGGAAACUGGUUGACUUGAGUGCAGAAGAGGAGAGUGGAAUUCCAUGUGUAGCGGUGAAAUGCGUAGAUAUAUGGAGGAACACCAGUGGCGAAGGCGACUCUCUGGUCUGUAACUGACGCCGAGGCUCGAAAGCGUGGGUAGCAAACAGG